AUCUAGCUGACAAGUCCCAACUAGGACGAAACACGCGUCCUGGAU
rnacentral:hammerhead_ribozyme from 1 species